rnacentral:rRNA from 1 species
CCUACGGGUGGCUGCAGUGGGGAAUUUUGGACAAUGGGGGCAACCCUGAUCCAGCCAUGCCGCGUGCGGGAAGAAGGCCUUCGGGUUGUAAACCGCUUUUGUCAGGGAAGAAAUCUUCCGAGCUAAUACCUUGGGAGGAUGACGGUACCUGAAGAAUAAGCACCGGCUAACUACGUGCCAGCAGCCGCGGUAAUACGUAGGGUGCAAACUGUGCUCGGAGCGUGCGCGGGCGAUGCGGGAAGACAGGGGUGAAAUCCCCGGGCUUAACCUGGGAACUGCACUUGUGACUGUACGGCUGGAGUACGGCAGAGGGGGAUGGAAUUCCGCGUGUAGCAGUGAAAUGCGUAGAUAUGCGGAGGAACACCGAUGGCGAAGGCAGUCCCCUGGGCCUGUACUGACGCUCAUGCACGAAAGCGUGGGGAGCAAACAGGAUUAGAUACCCCUGUAGUC